GCCUGGAGCACAGGGCUUGCUCCCCUCAGCCCUUCAGCAUCAGGGCGGUCCUUCUUGGUUCCUCACAACUGCAUCUGUGCUGAAGUCCUGAAUGGGUAGGAGAGGGCUGGACAUGUGGGCCUGGUGCAGCAGCCAUAGGCAGCCACUGGGAAGUGGGGGCUGGGGUGUCGGGCAGGGGCCCCGAUACUAAUAAAGAAUGGAUUCUGCUUU